rnacentral:rRNA from 1 species
CCUACGGGAGGCAGCAGUGAGGAAUAUUGGUCAAUGGGCUAAGGCCUGAACCAGCCAAGUCGCGGGAGGGAAGACGGUCCUAUGGAUUGUAAACCUCUUUUGUCGGGGAGCAACGAGGCCACGUGUGGCCGAAGUGAGAGUACCCGAAGAGAAAGCAUAGGCUAACUCCGUGCCAGCAGCCGCGGUAAUACGGAGGAUGCGAGCGUUAUCCGGAUUUAUUGGGUUUAAAGGGAGCGUAGGCCGCAUGUCAAGCGUGCUGUGAAAUGUCCGGGCUCAACCCGGGCCUUGCAGCGCGAACUGGCGUGCUUGAGUCCGCGGAAAGCAGGCGGAAUUCGUCGUGUAGCGGUGAAAUGCUUAGAUAGGACGAAGAACCCCGAUUGCGAAGGCAGCUUGCUGCAGCGGAACUGACGCUGAUGCUCGAAAGCGCGGGUAUCGAACAGGAUUAGAUACCCCAGUAGUC